AUGAGCAGCCGUGGCGACAUGUUCGACCCGCUGCCGGACGACGUCCUCUGCCACGUUCUCUCCUUCCUGCCCUCGCGCGAGGCCGUGCAGACGUGCCGCCUCGCCCGCCGCUGGCGUCACCUCUGGAGAUCCGCCCCCGCCAUCCGCGUCCGCGGCGAGCGCAAGAAGAAGAAGAAGUUCCUCCGCUUCGUCGACAACCUCCUCUUCUGCCGCGACGUCCGCUCUGCGCCGCCGCUGCUCUCCUUCGAGAUCGACGCAGACGUCGACGUCCGCAUCGCCUGCUCUUACUGCAAGCAACAUGACUGCGACUGUGACUUCGACGACUACGCCGACCGCUCGAAGGUCAAUCCCCGCGUCGACGAGUGGGUUACACAUGCCCUGCGGCAGUGCCGCGCCCGCUCGCUCAGGGCAUGCUUCCAUGAGACCCGGUGGAAGCCCCGGCGCGCCCGCCCCUUCGCAUCUCCGCAUCUGACGAGGAUCCACCUCGACGCCGUCUACCUCAAAGACCGCCAACUGAACUUCUCCUGCUGCCCGUCGCUGCUGCGCCUCGAUCUCGUGCUCUGCAGCCUCUACGGGGACGCACUGGCGUCGCCCUCGCUGGAGCGCCUCGCCAUCGUCGACUGUCACACCGACAUCGAUGAAGACCCGGAGGCGCCCGAUGAAAGGUUCCACAUGAGCUUGUCCACGCCAAGACUCCGUUUUCUCGAGAUAUCUGAUAACUACGACAAGGAACAAUUCCUCGAGAUGGCGCCGUCGCCAUGGUUGACGGAGGAGAGCAUCUCAUACUAUUGA
rnacentral:rRNA from 1 species